CUUGAGAUCAAAGUUUUAUGGUUAGUUAUACAUGUACAAAGCUUAUUGUUUGCGAAAGCUGAGCCGGUGCCCAAGAAUAACGUAGAUCCAAGAUGAAAAUGGCUUAAGGUCUAGGAGCAUUAGAUGAUACUAGAGGUUGCUAUUUCUGAAGAGGAUAAACAAAGAAACCGACCAAGAAAGGGUAGAAUUGCCACAAGUUAGAUCUUCAUAUAUUAAGAGUAAAAUAUAUUUUUUAUAUUUUAUUCUAUCUUGGAAAAUACAGUUAUUUUGUCGACCAAACAAACGCUACUAAAAGCUUAUGCAAAAAACAAGAUGCCAAACCAAGCCUUAGAUUGCUUUAAGAAAUUGGAGGAGAUUUUUGGGUGCAAGCAUGGAAUAAGAUCUUACAAUGCUUUUAUCAAAGUCAAUCAGUUAGAAAAAGCAGUUUUUUUUUUUCCGAUUAUUUUGAAACAGUGGGUAUCUUGCUUAAUUUGCAAACAUAUAAUAUUUUGAUCAAGAUUUCUGUUAAGAAGAGACAAUUCGUCAAGGCAUGGAUUGGAUGUGGGGUAAAGAUUUAAAGCCUGAUGUGUAUAGCUAUAGCACUAUGAUUUGUGAGAUGGUUUAAAAUGAGGGUUUGGUGCGUGCACUUGAGGUGUUUGAUGAAAUGUUUGAAAGGGGCUUAGUUCCUGAUGUGAUAUGUUGUCGUAUAAUGAAUAAUGAUUGAUCGGUUUUUCAAAAGAGGAGAAUAUGUCAAGGGGAAAGAGAUUUGGGAAAGGUUGGUUAAAGGGUCCUGUGUUUAUUCAAAUGUGGUUACGUAUAUUGUUAUGAUUUAUUGGGUUGUGUAAAAUGAGGAGGAUUGAUGAGAGCUUGGAAAUGUGGGAGAGGAUGAAGAAGGAAUGGAUUCGUUUCAGUAUAGCAGUUUGAAAUGUGGGUUAUGUGAGGCGGGAAAUUUUGAUGGAGCUGUGAAGAUUUAUAAAGAAAUGGGGGGGGGGGGGGUAUAUUUUUCAAAAGGAAACAACUUUGAAGAGUAAUCUAUAAGGAGAGUUUUGAGUUGUGGGUUAUAACGAGGAAGGAGAAUUGUCGCAAUGUUGUUAGUUACAAUAUAUUUCUUAGAGGAUUGUCUGAAUAUAGGAAGGUUGAAGUAGGGGAGUGGAGCUGUUUCUGUUUGGGAACUCAUGCGUAGGAAGGGGAGUGGAGCUGUUUCUGUUUGGGAACUCAUGCGUAGGAAGGGGAGUGGAGCCUUAUGUAACAUUUUGAUGCAUGGCCUUGCUCUGCUGGGAAAAUUGGAGAUGCUUUGCUGUUCUAUUCAAAUAUGAAGCAGUCGAAUUGAACUGCCUUCCCAAUCUUGUUGCCCAUAACACACUUAUGGACGGGAUUUAAAAGGCCAGCGAGUGUGAAAAGGCAUCAGUGAUGUGGGCUUGCAUGUUCAAAUAUGGGUUUCAGCUGGACAUAGACACUAUGAUUACUUUAAUUGCAGGUGAUGUUGUUUUCGUGUUGUCAUGACAAUAUUUGCAGAUGUGAUUGGAUCUUCCUCGUGACAAACCUGAACACAACCUUCAACCAUCUGUUAGGCAAACAGCGAGCAUCCACGGCCCAGAUAGCCAAUCUAGCCCUUCAACAUCUAGUUUUUGCUUGAUCAUUUUAAUUCAGGGCCCAUAAAUCUUCUUUUUCAUUAUGGAUGAGUAACGUUCAGUAUCAAACAUUUUGACUCCUAGAAGUCCCAACUGAACUGAGUGAUCAAACCCACUAAAAUUGCUCCGAGAACUGCAACUUUUCGCCAAUCAGGUGAAGAAGAGAGGAAGGAAUCAGCAAUCACUAUGGCUAGUACACCCAUUAAAGCAAGGUAAAUGUUCUUCCUGGUUUUUGACCCUGCUUUUGCGUUAGUCAGAUCUUUAAUCUUCUGUGCUUCCUCCUUAGCUUUGGCUUUAUCAACUGGUGCUUUCUGGCCAAGGCUCUUGAAGAACAUCCCCUCAUUCCGGUCGUUUUCCAUUUGAACUUCAAAAUCUGCUACCUUAUUAUCGUUCUUCUCAAUUUCCGUUCUGUUCAAUUCUGCAGAUUCCUCAAAAGCUUGCAUCUGGCUCUCUAUGUUCUCCAUUAUCUGCUAAGCAUAAAUAAUGAAUAAGAAGCAGGUUAUCAACAGAGGUGCUAAGCAACACCAUUUUGUUGUUCCUUUAGCAUUUCAUAAUUUGCAUUGAGAAUGAAGGAGUUGAACAGACCCUGGCACCUGCUUCAUCAAGUCCUUUUAGAGCAUCCUCUCCAAUUUUAUCAAACUCAGCAUUGGCUUCUUCAGCAAAUUGAGUUAGAUAAUCUGAUCUCUCGUCCAAGUAAUCAGUGAGACGGACUUUUUGAGCUUGAAGCAUGGCUAUCUUCGCAAGCAGUUCUUGUUUUUUAGUAUCACCUUCAGGUGGGGGAGCCUCAGAGUCAGAAUCAUUCGACUUGCAAAGGAACAGGAUGGAGUUCUUUGUGUUGGAUGGCUUUCUAGUGUGGAAAAAACCAUGAUUUGUAGGAGCGAAUGAGGUGUUGAUGGCUUUGAGGGAAAACAUUUUUCAGAGGGAGAGAGAUAGAGAGAGUAGGAAAGGGGAGGGACGUUAUAUGGGCAGUUGUUUUAUUUUGGGCCUUUCGUUGGGUGUGGACAUUAUCCCUUAUUUAUGAGUAUAAUAUUUGUUCAAGUUUGCCCA